rnacentral:rRNA from 1 species
GCUUGUCUCAAAGAUUAAGCCAUGCAUGUCUAAGUAUAAACGAAUUUAUACUGUGAAACUGCGAAUGGCUCAUUACAUCAGUUAUAGUUUAUUUGAUGGUCCUUGCUACUUGGAUAACCGUAGUAAUUCUAGAGCUAAUACAUGCAUAAAACCCUAACUUCUGGAAAGGGUGUAUUUAUUAGAUGGAAACCAAUGCGGGGUAACCCGGAAUAUGGUGAUUCAUAAUAACUUUCGGAUCGAUUUAUCGAUGCAUCAUUCAAGUUUCUGCCCUAUCAGCUUUGGAUGGUAGGGUAUUGGCCUACCAUGGCUUUAACGGGUAACGGAGAAUUAGGGUUCGAUUCCGGAGAGGGAGCCUGAGAAACGGCUACCACAUCCAAGGAAGGCAGCAGG